rnacentral:lncRNA from 1 species
AGAUGCCUGGGGGGCAGGUAGGUCCCCGGGGCUGAGCCCCCGUAGGGAACCAGGGCUGCACUGGGGUUGCACUGGUGAUGCCAGGCAGAAGGUGCAGAGGCAAGAGCUGGGUGAGAUGGGGUCCAGCCGUGGCACUGAGCACCCCAAUAAAGGGGCUGCGAGGAUGCCCCACGCUGUGUAGGGAUGGAGGACCACUUUGCAAGCAGCACUGGGCAGGAUGUGGCCCCUGGAGAGACCAGCUCUGGGCACAGGGCAGCGUCAGCCUCUGCUGCUGGGACAGCAGCCCAUGGCAGCCUGCUUGGGCGAAGCUUUCUGGGGAGCGGGGAGGGAUGGGGGACCCGCAGCAUCAGCUGAAGUGCAGCUCAGGGUCAGGCUCAGGGGCUCUGCCAGGCGGCGGGGGGGGUGCGCGGAGCUGUGGAGAGAGGAGAGGAGAAGCGGUGCCAACACACCAAGGCUGCUCACCCCGCUUCAGACUCUGCCAAAGCACACAGGUGGCACCAUCCCCUAUUAUGGGAAGGCUGGGGGCAGGUUUGGGGGGCACAGCAUUGCUGUGAUGGGGCUUACCGGCCGGAGGCGGGUGGCUGCCAGGUCCGGAGAGCUCUGCCCACUGCCUGUGCCAUCCUGCCUGCAACCUGGAAGGGCCUGGCAGCUCAGCCCACCUCGCCACAUGCCCCCCCCCCCAGCCCCUUUUGCAGCACUCACUGGCACUCACCUCCCAGCGGCAUUUCAGGAGAGGGGCUGGGGGCCAGGCUGGUCCCGGGCACAAGGCCAGGAGGGGAGAAGGGUGGUGGGGACGGCGAUGGCAGCUCCUGAGAAGACAGAGCCAAGAUGGGUGGGAGCAGCAGGGAGGGCAUCCAGUCACCAGCAGUCCUGGCAGAAGAUGGGGGGGCUGCCUCACACCAGGGGACAUGGUGACCCUCCCUGUACUGACCUGCCCAGCUGCCCCCUGGCCCCCGGUGAGCUCCUCCACCACCAAGGAGGGGAAGACGCCGAUGCGGCCAUCAAAGUCGCCCAUCCAGAAGCCAUCAUCCACCUCGCCAGGGGCACGGGGC